GGGGGGAUAAGAUAUACGUAGUCCAACCACUACUUCAGGAUAAGUAGAAAAGUUGUUUCCAAUAGACCUCCAACUUAAGACAGGGAAUAAUAAACAAAUACUUAAUAAAGCAUGGAACAAGAUGUCAAGACAUAAAUACGCCACCACAAGGAAUAAUAAACAAAGAAUAGUAAACAAAUUCGUAAUAUAGCAUGCAACAAAGUGUCUUAGCAAGAAUAAUACAUCUACCAAGUAAUGUACUACCCCAACGACUCAAACUGGCACUAGCUUUCUAUCUUAAUCCGUGUCCACCAGAUCUUCCUAUCUAGGGUCAUGUCCUCAGUAAGCUGUAACUGCUCCAUGUUCUGCCUGAUCACCUCUCUCCAGUAUUUCUUCGGCCUGCCC
rnacentral:lncRNA from 1 species